rnacentral:rRNA from 1 species
GAAUUCACUAGUGAUUCAGGCCUAACACAUGCAAGUCGAACGCACAGCGUAAGGUGCUUGCACCUUUCAAGUGAGUGGCGAACGGGUGAGUAACACGUGGACAACCUGCCUCAAGGCUGGGGAUAACAUUUGGAAACAGAUGCUAAUACCGAAUAAAACUUAGUGUCGCAUGACACAAAGUUAAAAGGCGCUUCGGCGUCACCUAGAGAUGGAUCCGCGGUGCAUUAGUUAGUUGGUGGGGUAAAGGCCUACCAAGACAAUGAUGCAUAGCCGAGUUGAGAGACUGAUCGGCCACAUUGGGACUGAGACACGGCCCAAACUCCUACGGGAGGCUGCAGUAGGGAAUCUUCCACAAUGGGCGAAAGCCUGAUGGAGAAGGGCCGCGUGUGUGAUGAAGGCUUUCGGGUCGUAAAGAAAGGUUGUAUGGGAAGAACAGCUAGAAUAGGAAAUGAUUUUAGUUGACGGUACC